rnacentral:rRNA from 1 species
CAGCCGCCACGGUAAUACGUAGGGUGCAGGCGUUAAUCGGAAUUACUGGGCGUAAAGCGUGCGCAGGCGGUUUGUUAAGACAGAUGUGAAAUCCCCGGGCUCAACCUGGGAACUGCAUUUGUGACUGGCAAGCUAGAGUAUGGCAGAGGGGGGUGGAAUUCCGCGUGUAGCAGUGAAAUGCGUAGAUAUGCGGAGGAACACCGAUGGCGAAGGCAGCCCCCUGGGCCAAUACUGACGCUCAUGCACGAAAGCGUGGGGAGCAAACAGGAUUAGAUACCCCGGUAGUCCCUGUCUCUUAUAC